AUGCUGUACAAGCUAGAGAAAAAGAUAUCUCUAACCAAAGCAAAAAUUCAUAAAAUGCAACGUGAUAUACAAACAAAAGAAGAUCUUAAAAUCGUAGCAUUGGGCACAUCCACGAUAAACUAUCUCGACCCCAAAAUUACAAUUGCCUGGUGCAAGCGGCAUGAGGUUCCCAUUGGGAAGGUGCUAAAUCAACAAUGUGUUUGGUAA